AAGGUUUUUUUUCUUUUUUCAGUCACUACUGAGCUCAGAGCUGCCCUCCUCGGAAGACAGGGCCAAUGUCCUUAAGUUCGUCAAAACAAACCCCACUGCCGUAGGAGCCCAGUCCCUUCACUUACUCUGCCUGGACCACUCCAGCAGAUGGAGUACAUGCUUGAUCACUUCCCGCUUAUUCUACUCCAGUAUGGCAAGGACGUGUACGAUACCCCGAUCGAGUGGGUGGAUCUUGUGUCCGCUCUGAUCAAUCACAAAGCAGGUCUGCCCUCAAGCGACCCACCACAUCAAGUCUAUUCGGAUGUUUUGAAUGACGUGUUGAGCGAACUAGUAGCCACGUCUCCUCUGGACGUGUUCCUCCGAAUAAUUCCCAGCACCCACCACGAGGAGUUGCGGAACUCCAUUCGACAGUGCCACUCCGCUGCAUUGGCCACCUAUCUGCGUUCAUCAUUGAUAACAUACGCAAACAACUUGUUGGCGCAGAUGGCCAAGUAAUUUGUAAGACCUGUUUUUUUUUUUUUUUUUUUUUUUUCUUUCUUUUUUUUUUCAGUUACAUACAAGUGACAUCCCAUGCAGGUACGAUAAUAAGAUUGUUUAUUUGGUUGCCAGAUACACAAAGGUGCCACAUUGCAUUUAUGUAAGUCAUAGCAUUCAGAAUCUCAUCCUUUUUGUUAUCACCUGAAUUACAGUGUUCUAAUAAUUCUAGUCUUACUUAGGUGUAUAUAAGUAUUUAAAAUUUUAAGUUUAAAGUAAUCUCCUCCUUUUUUUUUUUUUUGUUUCUUUUCAUUAUGGUUUGAGUCAUAAGGUGCAGUUAAUUUUUACCAUUUACCUAUUCAGGUAAUAUAAGAUUAUGUCAAAUAGCUAAUGACCUGUUAUGUUUUAAAUCAGAUACGUUUAUUGUAGAGUUAGAGAAUUAAAUACGUUGAUUUUUCCUUUGCUUUAAUUCAAAUAGCUUGUCUGCACAAAUUGGGUACUAGCUUUUAAGUGUCACUUUAUAUGUUAAAUUAUACUUUAGUUUGUUCUGUAUUGGCUAAGUUACAGUGCAAGUUAGUUAGUGUUGGGUCCUUUCUAAAUGUUAAUGUUUUACUUCCAUUCAACUUAACUUUACCAAACAUAUUUAUCAGUUUUUAUACUCAAUUUCCUGUCUCCUAUCUAGUCAUACUUUUGAACCCUUGUUGAAUUUAA